rnacentral:rRNA from 1 species
GACGAACGCUGGCGGCGUGCUUAACACAUGCAAGUCGAACGGAAAGGCCCCCACUUUUUUGGUGGGGGUGCUCGAGUGGCGAACGGGUGAGUAACACGUGGGUGAUCUGCCCUGUACUUCGGGAUAAGCUUGGGAAACUGGGUCUAAUACCGGAUAGGACCAUGGUUUAGUGUCUCAUGGUGGAAAAAUUAUUGUUUUGGUGCAGGAUGAGCUCGCGGCCUAUCAGCUUGUUGGUGGGGUAAUGGCCUACCAAGGCGUCGACGGGUAGCCGGCCUGAGAGGGUGGACGGCCACAUUGGGACUGAGAUACGGCCCAGACUCCUACGGGAGGCAGCAGUGGGGAAUAUUGCACAAUGGGCGCAAGCCUGAUGCAGCGACGCCGCGUGGGGGAUGACGGCCUUCGGGUUGUAAACUCCUAUCGUUAGGGACGAAGCCGCACCUUUUUUGGGUGUGGUGACGGUACCUUUGUUAAGAAGCACCGGCUAACUACGUG